rnacentral:lncRNA from 1 species
GUAAAACUCUAGGUUAAACCACCAGAAACCCUAGAAGCCGAUAGGUCACCUAAAAAUUACCCAAAAAUCAGCGGAAAAUCUCCCAGAACGUUCGAGUGAAGAAAAUACACUCAGAUAUCACGAUGAAAAACUCAGAAAGGCAUCCGAUUUAGAUCGGAAUCGUCAUCGACCACAAAGUCUCAGAAACACCCCCAAAAAUCUCAAAGGAGACUUCAACCAAGAUAACGAGAUGCCAAAAACAUAGUCGGAUCGUCGUCCAGGCUCUGAUACCAUGAAAACUUUGAGAUUAAACCGAAGAGUCAUGGAAAAUAUAGUGAGAGAAUCUAGAGAGAAGGAGGAGCGUAUGAGAGAAGUCUCUGGAAGACAGAGAGUAUUAU